rnacentral:ncRNA from 2 species
ACGACAGGUACGGGAGACACUGGCGUAUGUCAGGGCCGAAGGAGCAACCGCCCCGGUAAACUCUCAGGCAAAAGAACCGGCCUACUGG